ACAUGGCGGAGCCGGCUUGAGAGUGGCUGCUGUUUCCCUAACGGGAGCGGCGCGGUUCGCUGUCCGGGGACCCGCCGCGAGUUGCGGGAAGGGCAGGAAUGCCGUGCCCUUGAUGCAUCCUGUCGGAACUCGAGCAGGACCUCUCCUGGUCCCAGGACAGCCGUGUUACCUUUCAGGACCCAAUUUACAUGAUGGGCAUUUCACUGGCAUUGGCCGUUGCCACCCAGCUGGACCUGGGCAACCCUUGGGCUC